GCAAGGUGCGUGGGGGUGGGGUGGUUCCUUUGCAGCCUCAUCCAGCACUUCCUCUGCUCUGCUCAAUGCUCGUUGGGGGUGGUUGAGAAUUUGGCCCUGUCUUUUCAUGUCUCCAUAGUGUUGGGCUGAUGCCCUUUGGUACUAGGCUGGAGGAGUCUUGCAGGAAGAGACCCAAGUGCCCUGCAGCCCCUGAGCCGCCACUUCUCAGUAAUCCCCCCACCCCCAAGGGGAAGACACGUGAGCGUCCCUCCUGUCUGUUUAAACAUCCCAGCGUGGAUCAUUCCUCCGGGUGUUAGCACACCUAGGCCCCUGCUCUUGCUCUGCCUGUCCCCAUGCUCGGAGCGUCUGCAUGGCCCCAUGCAGCGCCCCAUGCCAUCAGGCAGUUCUCCGGCAGGGAAGCAGUGAGGGCCGGGUUCAGCCCCUGCCUCCAGCCAAUGUGGAAAUAUCACAUUGGGAUUCCUCCAGCACUGCCCUGCCACACCUUUAGGGAUGUGGGGAGUGGCUUGAUUGAUUGUUGAGAGGCAGGACAGCUUAGGACUUGCUCCCCUCACCAUGCACUGUCGGGGGCCUGCCCUGAACCUGCAUGGCAGUGAUCACCCUGGGGGAGGUGCGACGUGCCUGUCUGAGACACACCCUUAGGAACGGAUACCACCCCCUCAUUUCCCAUCUGCACUUGCUCUGUCCCUCCCUCCCUCAACUGCUUCUCUUCUCAGCACCCUCUGGAAUGUGUUCUUCCCUGUUCCCAGUCAAGCCCAGAGCUCCUGGGCACAAAGGUGUUGAGGGCUCCGGGAACUGAACUGCUCCCUGGGGUGGAAAAGGGAAUUCAGACAACAGAAGGCAGUAAAUGAACCCCUCAGCCCCUUUUUCAUGCUUGAGGAUUUCACAGCAGAAGCUCUGCUCUCUGGGAGUCUUAUUCUAGGGUUAUCUAGAGUGUCUGAGCCUCACGUUCACCAAUGCAUUUAUCCUCACAAUGCCCUUUGGACACUGGGAAGUAUUGUCCCUGGCACGGGUGGGGGAUGAGGCACAGAGACUCAGGCCCAGAGCCUCAAAGGCUCUGUUGGUUUCAGAGACAGGAGUCUAAAUACCUUGAGGAUCUGGGCCUGUGUGACUUGCCCAAGGUCACGCAGGAUGCCUGUGGCAGGCAGGAAUUAAACCCAGCUUGCCUGUGCCCAACCACAGAACCAAGGUUCUCCUCGCGAGUGGCUUCUCCAUCUCUUGAUAGCUUCAGCCAGAGAGGCACCAGACUCACUCUGAUGUUCUUUAGUCAAACACAGCUUACUAGGCUCAUUACAGGGUAACUCUGGCCUGUGCUAUGCAUGAUAACAGUGUUCCCUUUGGGCUUUGAAGUCUAUGAAACUCUUGAGUCUAGUAUCCCGGCUUUUAGCAUUGGCAGAUAGACACUAGAGCACAUGGUGCUUGUUCCCCACAUUCACAGAUCCCUCAGAACACAGCAUCUGCUCUCCCAGGGCCCACUGAGAAGUAGGAGCCUUCCUAGCCUACGGGGUCUGGUACCUGGUGAUAGUCCUCCAUGAAUUUCAGAUGGCUCUCCUCACAGAUCAGCAAGUUGAGAUACUCCUUCCAGUCAGCAUGGACAGCCUCCAUGUGAGCCUAUGACACAACGGGAGCAGCCGGCAUGUUACAAAGGCUUGUUGCCUGCCUCAGUGGGUGAAUACCAGCUCUGGAGAAGAAUCCCAGGGAGGCAUUUACUUGGUGACACAAUCAUGAAUGGGCUCUGCUUGUCAGGGGAGGAACAAGAUAACAGGCCUGGCGGAGGUGGGGUAAUUGGAUCUCUGUUUUACCCAAUUUAUACACUUGCAGUAGAAGGAAGCCUUUUGGUUGGCAUUCGGCAGCUCAGGAAGCCAUGCAAAGCUGAGGAGCCAUUAUAGGAUUGCAACUGAUGAAGUUCUAGACAGAGGCAGUGAAGGUGUCAGGCUCAGAAGGGAAUGUUUGGAGGGGACCCCUUGCUAACAGACCAGAACACAGGAACCCAGCAACAGCAGCUGGAAGGGACUCUUGCUUACACCCCAGAUUUUACAUACCUUAAAAUGAAGGGGUCUGACUCCUUGGUGCACUCAAAACAGAGAAUCCCUCAAGGCCAGGAAGCCCCAGCCCUGCCCUGCUGCAUCUUGGCCUCCUCCUUUCCUUAUAGUUGCUUGUAAAGUCUCUGAGCUGGAUUCUCUCCUUGCUCCCACCAAGGUAAAUCCAGCGUAAGCAAGAGGAGAAUCAGGCCCUAUGUCAAGACAGGUAUUUUCAUUCUUUUUUGCUUUAGGGCCUGAUCUAUUUGUACAUGUAAUAACAUCAAGCCCUAUCUCUUA